rnacentral:rRNA from 2 species
CAUAUGCUUGUCUCAAAGAUUAAGCCAUGCAUGUCUAAGUAUAAACAAAUUUAUACUGUGAAACUGCGAAUGGCUCAUUAAAUCAGUUAUAGUUUAUUUGAUGAUACCUUUCUACAUGGAUAACUGUGGUAAUUCUAGAGCUAAUACAUGCAAUCAAGCCCCGACUUCUGGAAGGGGUGUAUUUAUUAGAUAAAAAACCAACGCGGUUCGCCGCUCCUUUGGUGAUUCAUAAUAACUUCUCGAAUCGCACGGCCUUGCGCCGGCGAUGCUUCAUUCAAAUAUCU